GACGAACGUUGGCGGCGUGCUUAACACAUGCAAGUCGAACGGUAAGGCUCCAGCUUGCUGGGGUACACGAGUGGCGAACGGGUGAGUAACACGUGGGUGACCUGCCCUGCACUUCGGGAUAAGCCUGGGAAACUGGGUCUAAUACCGGAUAGGACCGCACCGUGAGGGUGUGGUGGAAAGUUUUUUCGGUGUGGGAUGGGCCCGCGGCCUAUCAGCUUGUUGGUGGGGUAAUGGCCUACCAAGGCGGCGACGGGUAGCCGGCCUGAGAGGGUGGACGGCCACAUUGGGACUGAGACACGGCCCAGACUCCUACGGGAGGCAGCAGUGGGGAAUAUUGCACAAUGGGCGGAAGCCUGAUGCAGCGACGCCGCGUGGGGGAUGACGGCCUUCGGGUUGUAAACUCCUUUCACCAUCGACGAAGGGUUUCUGACGGUAGAUGGAGAAGAAGCACCGGCUAACUACGUGCCAGCAGCCGCGGUAAUACGUAGGGUGCGAGCGUUGUCCGGAAUUACUGGGCGUAAAGAGCUCGUAGGUGGUUUGUCGCGUCGUCUGUGAAAUUCCGGGGCUUAACUCCGGGCGUGCAGGCGAUACGGGCAUAACUUGAGUACUGUAGGGGAGACUGGAAUUCCUGGUGUAGCGGUGAAAUGCGCAGAUAUCAGGAGGAACACCGGUGGCGAAGGCGGGUCUCUGGGCAGUAACUGACGCUGAGGAGCGAAAGCAUGGGGAGCGAACAGGAUUAGAUACCCUGGUAGUCCAUGCCGUAAACGGUGGGCGCUAGGUGUGGGUUUCCUUCCACGGGAUCCGUGCCGUAGCUAACGCAUUAAGCGCCCCGCCUGGGGAGUACGGCCGCAAGGCUAAAACUCAAAGGAAUUGACGGGGGCCCGCACAAGCGGCGGAGCAUGUGGAUUAAUUCGAUGCAACGCGAAGAACCUUACCUGGGCUUGACAUAUACAGGAUCGCGCCAGAGAUGGUGUUUCCCUUGUGGCUUGUAUACAGGUGGUGCAUGGUUGUCGUCAGCUCGUGUCGUGAGAUGUUGGGUUAAGUCCCGCAACGAGCGCAACCCUUGUCUUAUGUUGCCAGCACGUUGUGGUGGGGACUCGUAAGAAACUGCCGGGGUUAACUCGGAGGAAGGUGGGGAUGACGUCAAAUCAUCAUGCCCCUUAUGUCCAGGGCUUCACACAUGCUACAAUGGUCGGUACAGUGGGUUGCCAGUCCGUGAGGGCGAGCUAAUCCCGCAAAGCCGGCCUCAGUUCGGAUCGGGGUCUGCAACUCGACCCCGUGAAGUCGGAGUCGCUAGUAAUCGCAGAUCAGCAACGCUGCGGUGAAUACGUUCCCGGGCCU
rnacentral:rRNA from 1 species